CUGUCAGAAAACAAAAAAAAAAAUAAGAUGAAAAUUUAUUAUCGAUCAUCGCUUAUUGGUCUCGUCAUGCUCACAAUUCUUCUGCUUGGAGUAGUGGCGAAUGCUCAAAAAGGAGGACCAGUCUGAAAACAAUGUGUUGAACAAUACCCGGACCCAAAUGGAAAAUGUGUUAUCGACCAAUGUAAAGCCCAAUGUGCCAAAAACAGAAAAGGAGGGCUAGCUAGAUGCAUUGAUACUGGCAAAGGACACAUGCAAUGCAGAUGCGAUUAUCAUUGUUGAUUUUUAUCUACGUUGAAACUCAAAUAAUAUUUAUAAUAUUACAAUAAUACUACCACUUUAUCAAUGAAAAGAGUUACAAUAUUAAUAUAUUUGUUGAUGAUUGUUGUGUAAUAAGGUGUAGUAGAUUACUAAAUAAAAAUAAAAAAUUUACAUAUUUCUGUCUUUUUGUACAAUAACGUGAAAUAACCAAAAAAAUAAAUGAGAAUUAGUAGUUAUUUCAUAUAGAAGCUGAAAGAAUUUUGUUUAACAUUUUACCAUUUAUCAAUUUCACAAUCAAAAUCAGAUUUUUUAAGAUAUUUAUAAUCUAAAGAGAUUUAACAAAAAGAAAAAUGCUAACCAUUUCAUUGGAAUCAGUAAAAGCAAGAAUCACAUUUAUUUUAUGAAUUCAUGUUCGGCUACGGUUUUGGAAGAGUUUCCUGAUAUCAUCUUGCUUAUGGAUAUAGUGAUGAAUACAUGGUCUAAAGCUCACUUUCUUGUCUUUGUUUGUCUUACACUCACUCUGGAUAUUGAAAGUCAGACCUCCUGGUGUAGAAACAUUAAUGAAUCCUUUAUCAAACCACCGUACCAAAGGGACUUCCACUCUAAUGAAUUUGUUUAUGUAACUUUUCUUACGUGUCACUUAUAUAUGUAAUAUUGUUAAAAAUGUAUAUAAAGAUAUAUAUAUAUAUAUAUAACUGUUUUUAUAUUUCACUUUAAAAAUGAAUUUUUACUUUAUUAGACCAAAUUACCCUUAAUCAUUUAUUUUUUGUUUCUUUUUUUUUAACUAGGUAUUGUAUAAAUUUUGAAUUUGUGACUUCAUAGAAUUUGAUUUCUUAUGUAUAUCGAUAAAUAUUUUCAAUAAAAUUUAAAAUAAAUGAGUCAAACUUUUUAUCUAUUAAAUAAAUAAAACUAGAAUUGUGAUUUUUUUGGGGCAAACUAGAUCCUUAUAUUUUGGCAGUUUAAACGCCACUUAACUUAAUUUAGAUAUAUUUAAUUUUGUGAUUGAUCUAUAAAUAUACUUCUCGGUCUUUCUUAAUUUUAAAACACUAUUAUUUCAUUAUUUAAUUUAUUCUGUCAGAAAAAAAAAUAAGAUGAAAAUUUAUUAUCGAUCAUCGCUUAUUGGUCUCGUCAUGCUCACAAUUCUUCUGGAUAUUGAAACUCAGACCUCCGGGUGUAGAAACAUUAAUGAACCUUUGAUCAAAGCACUGUAUCAAAGGGACAUCCACUCUAAUGAAUUUGUUUAUGUAACUUUUCUUACAUGUCACGUAUAUAUGUAAUAUUGUUUAAAAUGUAUAUAAAGAUAUAUAUAUAUAUAUAUACAUAUAUAUAUAUAUAUAUAACUCUUUUUAUAUUUCACUUUAAAAUGAAUUUUUACUUUAUUAGACCAAAUUACAAUACUUAAUUUUGGAUUGAUUAACGUAAAGGGGAAUGAGAUAAGUAUCAAUAAUAUUAAAAUUAUAACUGGCAGGACCCACUUAACUCUAAGUAUAAAAUUUAAUUAUUAUAUUAUAAACAUUUAUAUUUGUUAAUAAAUACAAAAUAAAUAGUAAUUUCACUUUUUAUAUUUACCUCUCUAAUAUUGCAAAAGAGAAUAUAAAUUAUUUUCACCUACUAUUAAAGUAUAAUAUUUAAUUACAAUAAAUUAUGACAUAUUUUUCAAAAAUCAUUAUCAAACUACAACAACAUAACUUAUAUUUCAGUCUAAGAAAUUAGAAUUUAUUCAACUAGACAUUAAUUAAUUUACAUUUUGAAUAUUUUACACACAUAUUAAAUUUAUUAAUUAACAAAGGACAUGAUGUUAAAAUAGAGUUUGACAAGGCUUAAGUGACCUUUUUAAUAUUAAACAGAAUAUAUUAAAAAUUAAAAUUUUAAAAUAUUUUUCAAAAAAUUGUUUGGUUUUUGGUGCGGGUUGAGUUUGAUAUUUGCUUUCAGAUAUCAAUACUAUUAAAUUAGAAACAUAUCAAGUUGAUAAUAGUUGAAUUCAACUUAAAAAAUAUAACUGCAUCUAAAAUAUAACUACAUUACAUAAAAUAUAAUUGCAUAAAUAUACAAAUAAAAAACACACACAAUUCCUAAAAAGUCUAACUGCCGUUUGUCAUAUCUUUUCAGCUUCUUUUAUUUGCUAACAAAUCUAACUGUUUACAACUACAUAAAAAAACACACGAGUUCUCAAAAACCCGUACUAAUAAUAAUUAUAAAAAUUAAAACAAAAAUAAUUACAAAAACAUAAAUAUCAUUACAAAAAAUACAAAUAUGAAAAUUAAAUUUAUAAAAAUAAACUAAAACAAAAAAUAAACCCGCCCUUUCAAGGGCAGAUCAAAAUCUAGUAUAAUUUAUAUUUAAAAAUUUAGGUACCCAUUUGAUUCUCAAUUCUAUUUCAGUUUUUUUGGUUCUAGGUUACGUCAUCGAUCAAUUAUUUAUGAAAUUCAGUUUAGUUAUGUUUUUUUUUCAAUAAUUAUUUUUCAAAAAUUUUAUUUAAUUUCAAAAACAAAGAAAAUACAAAUAUGAAAUUUUCAAAAUAAAGUAAGACAAAAAUAUACCCGCCCUUUCACAAAAAAACUCUAAGCAUAUGUUAUUAAAAAUAAAAUUAUAUUCUAAAUAUGAAAACUAAAUUAUGUUUGAAUUAUUAAAAACAUGAGUAGUGGUGAAUGCUCAAAAAGGAGGACCAGUCCGAAAAAUGGAAAAUGUGUUAUCAACCAAUGGAAAAUGGACACUGUGUUAUCAACCAAUGUAAAGCUCAAUGUGCCAAAAACAGAAAAGGAGGGCUAGGUAGAUGUAUUGAUACAGGCAAAUGACACAUGCAAUGCAGAUACGAUUAUCAUUAUUGAUUUUUAUGCACGUAGAAACUCAAAUAAUAUUUAUAAUAAUAUAAUAAUACUGCCUCUUUAUCAAUGAAAAGAAUUAAAAUAUUAAUAAUUUUGUUGGUGAUUGUUGUGUAAUAAGGUGUACUAGAUUACUAAAUAUAAAUAACAAAUUCACAUAUUUCUGUCUUUUUGUACAAUAACAUGAAAUAACCAAAAACGUUAAAUGAGAAUUAGUAGUUAUUUCAUAUAGAAACUGAAAGAAAGUUUAUUUAAAACAUUUUACCAUUUAUCAAUUUCACAAUCAAAAUCAGGUUUUUAAAGAUAUUUAUAUUUGAAAGAGAUUUAACAAAAAAAAGUGUUAACCAUUUCAUUGAAAUCAGCAAAAGCAAGAAUCACAUUUAUCUUGAAUAUAAAUGAGGUAGGGUACUGAUUCAUCCAUCCAUAGUAGUCUUGCAAUUAAUUUUUUAAAAAUAGAUGUAAAAUUUAUGCAACCGAAUAUUAUGUACAGCAAGUUCUUGUAUGUUAAAAAAAAAUUCAAGCGCGUAAUAAUUGUACGAUGAAACUUUAUAUGAUGGCAUUUACUCUUUAUUUAAAGUAGGUAUGACAUAAAAUUCGCAACCCAAAGUCUGAACCCAAACCAAAAUGUGCGAUCCGUACUCAGUCUGAAAAAAAUUCUUGAAAAUUGUCUAAAUGAAAGAAAUCGCUCAUUAAAUAAAUUAUGACUUAUGUUUUAAUACUAUUGAUAAUUUUAUUUUAAUAUUUGAGAUGGAAAUGAAAUUUUUUCUAACAGAAUAUUUUUCAAAAAUAAUCAAAAUAAUAAAAAAUACCAAUAAUGAAUAUUUAUUUGUAUUUCAAAUAAAAAGACAAAGAUACUGGAAGAUAUUAUAGUUAUAUUAUGUAAAAUUUGAUAAUUGUUUUUUUUAAAUGGCCCAAUGAAAAAUCACACAUGAAAUAAAUAUGACUUAUAUUUUACAUGGUGAUCAUAUAUAAUCAAGACUUGUUUAUAUUCUUCAUGCAGCAUUCUAUCAGACAUUAAAAAAAGGAUAUAUUUUCACAAAAUGCAUAUUUAAUAAAUAAUAUUAAUUAAAUUUUUUGUAAAACCUAACUCGUGAACCAGCCUCGGUUGACCAUGAAAGAACUUUAAAAAUUUUUAUAAUAUUUUUUAUAAAUUUAUUAAACUUCUCCUAUACUUUAUAAUAGUACAUAAACUGGAUAAACUAUUUAAUUUAUAAUAUAAAUUAAAUGUAUUAUUUUACAUUAUGUAUUUUAAUUUACAGAUUUUGUAAUGAACAUUAUUAUUACAAUUUUAGUGUAUAUACUUUUUUUCUUUUAUAUAAUUGGCUUAAAUCUAUUUAUAAAUUAAAUUUAUGAUUGCUAAAGUGACUUGCGAAUAAUAUUAAUUUUUGAUAGAUCUAAGAUAAUUUAAUAUUAUUUUACAUGUAUACUUUAUAAACAACAAGAUAUGAGCCCGUUGCGUUGCAACGGGUUUUAUUUGAUGUUUUAAUUUAAUAAAAAUUAUAAAUAAUAAAUCAUUUUAUUAUAGUUUUAUGAUUAUUUUUUGCAUAUGUUGUUUGAGAUUUAUUUUAUAAUUAAAACUAGUUUUCACAUAUAAGUUCAAGUUAAUAUUUGUAUUUUAUAAUCAUGGUGCAUAGAUGAAUUGUUAUAAACUUUGUACAUAGGAUUAUAGAAAAUACUAUAUCAACGUUUAGAAUGAACUCAACCUGAAAUAAGAAACUGAAUGAAAAGUAAAAAGAAAUGAAAGUCAAAUACACCAAUCGAGUCAGUGUCAACUUUAUACAUGUUUUAUGUACUAAUUAAUUUUAUUAUUAAAUAAGUCUUUAAAGUUUUAUUUUGCUAGGAUUUUUUAAAGAAAAGGAAAACAUUGUAUUUUAUAAAUCUCUUUUUUAUUUACAAUAAAAAACAUAUUAAAUACUCUUUUACAAUUUUGCUUAAGAUUUUAGAAUCAGAAAAUUAUUGUCAUAUAACCUAUUACGAUUAUUUUCUCUUUAGAAUUUCAGAA